rnacentral:lncRNA from 1 species
AGGCCAGUACAAAUGGCCAUGUCCCUUGAUGCGACUCUGCCUUCAGAACCAGGAGAGCCCCGCCCUCUGCUUACCAAGAAGCGACAGAUGGCAUCCACGGUGGAGCUUGAGCUGUGAGCCGUCCCCUUCCCUGUGUCCGGCGGAGCUGGCGUGGAGGCGGAGCCAAAGCAGGAAGAUGAUCGCAGUCAGGGUCGAGGACACGCGGUCAUCUUGAGCGGGCACCUGGGAACCUCAGCAGUAGCCCAAGCAUCUCCUCUGCUGGCCCACGAGCCACACCCUGGAUAAGGCUUGGCUGGGUCAAAAUGUCCAGGGCUCUGAUGGGAGCUGAGGAUGGAGGAGAGGCACGGAGUGAGGCUGGGCUGCAGAGUGCCCAGUCCUGGACAGGUGAGCCGAGGUGGAGACGGUGUCCCUGCACCUGACCCUGGCUCACAGGCAACUCUGGGGCGGGCGGGAUGGCUGCAGGGGCCCCACGGAGCCUCAUCCUCUCUGACGCUCGGCCUGGCCAGCGGCCGCCCUCGUGCCCCACACAGGAAGGAGCAGCCCCUGCUCCCUUGGAGCCGACACAGAGCCACGUGCUUCGUGCCUUCAGGGAGCCACACACCAGUGUCCUCAUGGAACCCCCAGAGCAAGGCAAUGGGUGCAGACUGGGACAAGGGGCACCCGGCUCUUGUUACCACAGGCGAGGGAUGGGCCCAUCUGGGAGGAACGCAGCCCCAGGAGGCCUAACAGCAGUCCUGGCCUUGCCACUGUGUAAAACGGGCCUAGAAGGAGCCAAGCUUCACUAACCUCUCUCCUGUUUCCGAGGAAAAGCAGAAGAGGAAAUGAGAGAAUGUUAGCUCUGCCCUGGACCCCAAAGGGUCUGCUCUCAACAAGCUGACGCGCGCAGCCCCUCUGUGCCCCGGUGGUCCCAGCCCGGCCCUCCUGGCCUCUGCCAUGUCCCAGACCACGUCGCACAGGCAGGCAGUGGCUUCACACAGACCCAAGUACGUCAGCGAUUCCACCCCAUCCAAACCAACAAUGAAACAGCCUACAGUGGCCAAUGGAGACAAGUGCAAAGACUUCUGGAAUGUUCCACACAGCUUUCAGCUUCAAACCAGUGAGCUGACAGGCUCUACGGGGAGAGCAACAAAGUGGCCAACAAGAAGGACGGCACUGGUGAGCUUCCUGAACCAGCCUUGGGCAUGCACCUUGAUGGGAUGAUGCCUUCCGCCUGCAGGUGCAGGUGAACCGCCCGGGCAGCAGAGGGCCCAGACCAGGAGGGCCCCUAACGGGCCAUUCCCCAUAGACCCCGGGGACCGCACUCCUCUGAGCCUCACCCAUCGACAGGGAGGUCUUCCAGGAGGUGAAACCACUCUUCCCAGAGCCUCCGCAGCGCGGGCGUCUGCUCUGCCCAGCCUGGCCACUGGUCCCGCUGCUUGUGCAGGGAGCUGGGCCUCUCAGGACAUGGGCGCCCCCCCGCCCAACAGACGGCCCUGGGGUCCCUCUGCUCACCGCUGCGUGCUCUCACAUGUGUGGACAGGCACUGUCAGCCGACGGACGCGGGGAGUGAGACUGGAGGGCUUGGCAGACUUAACAGGAGCGCAUCCUCCUUAGCCCCCAAAGGCGGGCGGCACUGCAAGCUGAGCACCCACUCCCCACCCCAGGCUUCGCGCUCCUUCCUGGUGCAGACUCACAGGUGGCGAUGCCCUUCCACCGCCUGGCCCUUCACCUGGGCUCCCUGCUGCAACCA